AAAUCCCCAAUAAUUUUGAAUUCCUAGAUUAAUUGGAAAGUGUGUUGGUUUAUGUUUUUAAGUGUUUUGGUACAAGUUAAAACCCAAAUUCGUCCAAUUUGAUGCUUUGUGUUCAAAACUGCCCAAAAAGUGGUUUUUAGGCAGUUUUGAGUGUUUGGUUGCUGUUUUGAUUCUUUUGGUUUGGUUUAGUGUUUUAGAGUUUAGUUUUGCAUUCUUUGAGUCUAGUUUCGUAUUUUUAAACUUUGUUUCACAGAUUUGAGUCAGUUUAGAGUGUUUUAGUAAUCCCUCCUAAUCCCCGGUUUAAGAACGAUCCCUACUUAUCCAUACUACAAUUGUCAACAAGAUGGUUAAUUUGUGUGUUAACUUAUUUUUUACAUCAGCUAGUUAGAGGGUUUCUGAGUUAUAUGGGGGGUGGUGCGGAUGAGUGAUGAUAUCUGGUCCCCCAAUGGCUGUUACACACACUUAAAUAGCAAAAUAUGUCAAAACACUAGGGAAAUAUAGCUAGGUGCGGUAGAAAAGCCAAGGGAAAGAAAGUAAUGUUUGUAGAAGGAUUUUUAACUCUAAAUCAAAUCAGAAUCCAAGGAAAAGGUUAAAGGGACAAGGAAUGGGACACAAGGUAAGGGAAAGGGAAAGGUUAUGACACAAUAGUGAAAGUGAAAGUGAAAGUUAUGGCAGAAAUCUAGAAGAAAGGGAAAUGAAUGCACAGCUAGGGAAAGUAAAGGGAGUGGUGUGACAAGGAAAAGGGAAGGAAAGGCAAAAUGUUAAGGCUGUAAGGAGGGAGACAUGGAUGUGUGCACGGUAACGAAGGUGAAAGGUGGUGGAAUGGUUCAGCAAGGGGACAAUGAAGGGGACAAUGAAGGGGACAAGGGUGGUGUGUAAGGCAAGGAAGGGGAAAGUGAUAAAAUGGUGCAGCAAUGAGACAAUGGAGGGGACAAGAAUGGUGUGCACGACAAGGAAGGUGAAAAGUGGUGUGACACCCCUUUGUGGCUGAGAUUAAGGCUUCUAGAAUCCUUUAUUUAGUGUCCUAAUAUCUUUGGGAACCCUCCUUGUGGCUGGAACUUAGUUGGAUUAGGAUUAAGAAAGGUUAAAUCAAAAUAAGGUAACUUAACUCAUGUGUCUUCUUUUCUUGCUGAGCUCUUUAUCUUCUUUAAAUUAAUUCUUCUUUCUCUUUAACACAUUCCUAGCCUCUUUAGUCUUCAAUUUCGUCCAUCCACCUUGCUCCAUGCAUGUGCUAUCCAUUCCAAGCCCAAAAUUGCUCCAAAAUGCACCUUAUUGCUUCAUGAUCGGAUCAUAUUUAUAUAUAUUUUUACUUCAAAUUCACUCGUCUUUUCUUAGUUAGUUCCUUAUAUUUUUGAGCUAUUUACGUUAUUUUUGUGUUUCUAGGAUUUGUUAUGCAAAGAAAAUAAAAAUAGCACAAAAGAAUCUUGCUGCCAAAAAUACUUUCCAGCUUAUACCUUGAAAAGAAGGCACAUGGACUGACAGACGGAAAGAAGAAAAAUAUAAGGGGAGACCGACAGAAACAAGAAGGCAGAACAGGGACUCGUUGGCAGAUGCUUUAGCAAUUGCUCAACAUCAUGAUGCAGUCAGUGGUACAAAGAGGCAUGGCAGAUAAUAAAAAGCAAAGAAAAAAAAAUAAGGUUGGCGUGAUUGGUGGGGGGCAGCCCUGCUGCCAGAAGCAGAAAAGGAUAUAAAAAAUAAAGAAAAAGAAGAAACGAGGAAGGUUGCUUUGGCAGCUGGAGGGCAGUACGUGAGUGGACAGAGGAAAGGAAUAAGGGAAUAAAAGCAGAAUAAGAAAUAAAAUAGAGGGGAGGAGGUGAUUUUGGGGGGGGGGGUCUUGGAGCGGGGUGGACAGAGGGGCUGCCCUUUGGGCAGCUCACAGAACACGGGAAGAGACUGGGGGGGGCUGCUUUGGCAGCAGUGCGCAGGAGGCGCAAGAAAGGAGAAGACGCGGGAAGCGCGAGGAAGGAGGAGAGGGGAAUAGGCGAGAGGGGAGGGCUGCCCUUUGGGCAGCGUGAAGCUGCGAGAAGGAAAGCAGUCAGCGUGGAAGGCUGACGGGGCAAGUGAGGCGCGGGAGGUCAGGAAGAAGGAGAGGACGUGCAGGAGAGAGGAGUGACUGACAGAGCACGUACUGACGACGCAGUGAAGCUGCACAGCAACAGAUCACCUUCUUUCGGUUUAAUCUUUCCAAACUCCUAUUUUAUUUUUGUUUUAAUAAUGUGUAAUUAAUUUUAUUUUGGCUAG
rnacentral:lncRNA from 1 species